UGCUUGACCUCAGAAAAGGCUUUCUGGUAUUUCGUGCUUUUUUAUUCUGCCUUGCUUGCGGGUUUUCUAAUGUUGUUUUGGAAAAUUUUAAGAAUGUUAUUUACAGCAAUAUGUAUGCUAGCCGAGAUUACAAGCAUUGAGGCAUUUUUUAUCUGGAUGAUUCAUGAGGAAGUUACAAUUUAAACCAUAACAGAAUCGAUUCAUUCACAAUUGACGAAGGUUGACGACACCAACUGAAAAAAACUAUUUAUCGACUUCAUUCCAAUCUAUAGAAUGUAAAUAUUGUAAUCCGCAAACAAACAAAAACUACAAAAAAGAAUAUCUCAAAGGUCAACAGAAAAAAUGGAAAUAAUACCUCAUCAAUCAACUGUGCCCGACAGUUACAUCCAUAUUCAGUGUUUCGAGACAUGCAAUUUGAAGCUACGAGUCUACAAGCAUUACUGAAUGAAAAUUAGGAAGAUGAAGAUCGCACGAAAAACAUCACUCACUCGAUAUAUGGAAUCUGGAAGAAAUUAUGGAAUGAGGAUAUCGCCAGAGUUCAAAAUCGCUUCAAUCUACUGAAAUGGACCAAUCAACGGUGCUGCAAAAUUUUGGUCUAACGGAAACAAUGGUUUUAACGCCACCUUGUGUUUCCGUCACCACAGCGUACUACGCAUGCGCCGGAUAUGUCACCGUUUGCGCAUUUAUUGAGAAUGAA